GUGAUAGCUCUUCUAGUUCGGAGUCAGAUGGAGGCCAUUACAUAGGAUCUAAUUGUGUUUGUUAAGCCAUUGUAUAAUACAAGAGUUUGCUUCUUGAGCUUACUAGUGUUCAGGCUCGAAGGAGAGGGAAGCGAGCUACAGAGUUGGAAAAAAGGUGGAAGAUAUCCUGGUUGAUCAAGAUAAGAAUGGACAGAAUACUCUGCUGAACUUUGUGGAGGAACCCAUAUAUCUAAUUUAAGAGAAGCCAAGGCAUUUGCUCUUUUAUCUUAGCAGGGGAUUGCCAAAGGAAUUCGUAGAGUGACUGUUGUUACGUCUGAGGUUGCGUUGAAUGCAAUUAAUUUGGCAUGCUCCCUCGAGCAACAAUUGAUUGAUGCAUCAAAGAUAGAUGCAAGCGUGCUGGAGAAAGUUAGUUUGGGAUAUUGUUCUUUUUUUUCUUCAACACUAGCAAUUUUAGCGAUUAUAGCUUGUAGAUGACUGACUUAUUAGUUUGG